AUUGAACGCUGGCGGCAUGCCUUACACAUGCAAGUCGAACGGUAACAGGUCUUCGGAUGCUGACGAGUGGUGAACGGGUGAGUAAUACAUCGGAACGUGCCUAGUAGUGGGGGAUAACUACUCGAAAGAGUGGCUAAUACCGCAUGAGAUCUACGGAUGAAAGCAGGGGGUCGCAAGACCUUGUGCUACUAGAGCGGCCGAUGGCAGAUUAGGUAGUUGGUGGGAUAAAAGCUUACCAAGCCGACGAUCUGUAGCUGGUCUGAGAGGACGAUCAGCCACACUGGGCCUGAGACACGGCCCAGACUCCUACGGGAGGAAGCAGUGUGGAAUUUUGGACAAUGGGCGAAAGCCUGAUCCAGCAAUGCCGCGUGCAGGAUGAAGGCCUUCGGGUUGUAAACUGCUUUUGUACGGAACGAAAAGCCCCGGGUUAAUACCCUGGGGUCAUGACGGUACCGUAAGAAUAAGCACCGGCUAACUACGUGCCAGCAGCCGCCGUAA
rnacentral:rRNA from 1 species